GCAGACUUCUUCGGGCAGCUAAAGGGAAAGUCCUCAUGACAUAUUCAAACUAAAUAAUAAUAAUGAUUAGCUUUUUUUUUUUUUUCAUUGAGGGAGGAUGUUAGCUUUGGAAGAAACAGUAGCUGUCACUAGAGAAUGUUAUUCAGAACAGGUCAGCUUAAAACAGGAUCCACUGGAUAUUAGUGACAUAACUACUCAGGGGUCUGGUCCAUGGUGCAUUGGCAAAAUGUAGCAAUGUUUCUUUUGGCUAGAACUGGAAAUGUUGAAACAGACUUUUUAAAUAACGAUUCUGGCACUGCAGAUAAUGAGCACCUUUAACUAUAUUUGUAGGCAGUUUGGAGAUCAAAGAAUAUAAGUGCAGCAACUUUUUUUUUCUUUUUUUUUUUUCCCGUGUGGGCAGACCAGGGGAUUCAGAACAUCUGGGCUCUAGUUUCAGUUCUGGUGCUGCCUUCCCGGAUAACUGUGAGCAAGUCACUUCAUCUCAAAAAAAUCUCAUACAAAAUUGGGGCUUCUACCACGGACCUUCGUUGCAAAGCGCACCGAGCUCAGCUGGGGAAAUCACCAUCCAAAGGAUCCACAGAUGGCUCCAGCUCACUGACUGGCCACACAGCCACUACAAGACCAGGGAAAUCAGCAGGAAGGACAGCCUGGAGGAGCAAGACCUCUUCUUCAGGAGCAUCCUGUGCAGUUAUACUUCACCUGGAGUAAAAUAAAAUUGUUUAUGGGCCUCAGCAUAA